rnacentral:rRNA from 1 species
UUCGCUGACGAGUGCCGGACGGGUGAGUAAUGUCUGGGAAACUGCCUGAUGGAGGGGGAUAACUACUGGAAACGGUAGCUAAUACCGCAUAACGUCGCAAGACCAAAGAGGGGGACCCUCGGGCCUCUUGCCAUCGGAUGUGCCCAGAUGGGAUUAGCUUGUUGGUGGGGUAACGGCUCACCAAGGCGACGAUCCCUAGCUGGUCUGAGAGGAUGACCAGCCACACUGGAACUGAGACACGGUCCAGACUCCUACGGGAGGCAGCAGUGGGGAAUAUUGCACAAUGGGCGCAAGCCUGAUGCAGCCAUGCCGCGUGUAUGAAGAAGGCCUUCGGGUUGUAAAGUACUUUCAGCGGGGAGGAAGGGAGUAAAGUUAAUACCUUUGCUCAUUGACGUUACCCGCAGAAGAAGCACCGGCUAACUCCGUGCCAGCAGCCGCGGUAAUACGGAGGGUGCAAGCGUUAAUCGGAAUUACUGGGCGUAAAGCGCACGCAGGCGGCUUGUUAAGUCAGAUGUGAAAUCCCCGGGCUCAACCUGGGAACUGCAUCUGAUACUGGCAAGCUUGAGUCUCGUAGAGGGGGGUAGAAUUCCAGGUGUAGCGGUGAAAUGCGUAGCGAUCUGGAGGAAUACCGGUGGCGAAGGC